rnacentral:rRNA from 1 species
UACGUAGGCAGCGAGCGUUGUUCGGAGUUACUGGGCGUAAAGGGUGUGUAGGCGGUUUGGUAAGUCUGGUGUGAAAUCUCCCGGCUCAACUGGGAGGGUGCGCCGGAAACUGCCGGACUAGAGUGCGGGAGAGGAGAGUGGAAUUCCUGGUGUAGCGGUGAAAUGCGUAGAUAUCAGGAGGAACACCGGUGGUGUAGACGGCUCUCUGGGCCGUAACUGACGCUGAGACACGAAAGCGUGGGUAGCAAACAGG